UGUCUCCAGAUCUAAAGACUCUCUUCUUCUCCUUGAGGAGAGCCUUAAUUUCAGGAUUUAUCCAUGGCUUGUUGUUAGAAAAACACCGUACCUUUUUGAUGGUUCAUGUAAUCCGUAAUGCAGUCUGUGAUGCUGUUGAGGUCAUCCUCCAGGGGGCUGCAGAGGUUGUCCCACACAGUAGAACGGAAACAGUCCCUCAGGGCCUCUUCAGUCUCUGCUGACCAUUUCCUUACUGUGCGUUUCACUACUGGUUCUCUGUGUACUAGAGGUUUAUACACAGGCUGGAGAUGAACCAGAUUGUGAUCUGAGCCCCCCAGGGGAGGGAGAGGUGAUGAGCUGUAUGCCUCCUUGGUGUUGGCAUACAAUAAGUCCAAUGUUUUAUUGUCUCUGGUGUGGCAGGUAACAUACUGGGUGAAGGUGGGGAGAGUGGAGGACAGGGAGAUGUGAUUAAAGUCCCCAGAGAUCAGGAAAAGGGCCUGAGGGUGCUGUGUUUGGAGUCUGCUGGUUACAGUGUGCAGGACCUCACAGGCUGCUGCAGCACUAGCAGAGGGCGGGACAUACACAGCUAUCAUAAUCACGUGUGUAAACUCUCGCGGUUGAUAGUACGGUCUCAUGCUAACCGCUAGCAGCUCGAUGUCCUUACAGCAUAGCGUCUCUUUGAUAAAUAAAUGCCCAGAGUUACCCCAUCUAUCGUUCACAAACACAGCCAGACCCCCUCCUCUCUUCUUACCACUCUCUGUUGUUCUGUCGGCCCGGAUCAGAUGAAAACCAUCCAUGUUUAUGUGUGAGUCCGGAGUUAGCGCAGUUAGCCACGACUCUGUGAA